rnacentral:rRNA from 1 species
UGUCGAGUCGAGCGGACAGAUGCGGAGCUUGCUCCCUGAUAGUUAGCGGCGGACGGGUGAGUAACACGUGGGUAACCUGCCUGUAAGACUGGGAUAACUCCGGGAAACCGGGGCUAAUACCGGAUGGUUGUCUGAACCGCAUGGUUCAGACAUAAAAGGUGGCUUCGGCUACCACUUACAGAUGGACCCGCGGCGCAUUAGCUAGUUGGUGAGGUAACGGCUCACCAAGGCGACGAUGCGUAGCCGACCUGAGAGGGUGAUCGGCCACACUGGGACUGAGACACGGCCCAGACUCCUACGGGAGGCAGCAGUAGGGAAUCUUCCGCAAUGGACGAAAGUCUGACGGAGCAACGCCGCGUGAGUGAUGAAGGUUUUCGGAUCGUAAAGCUCUGUUGUUAGGGAAGAACAAGUGCCGUUCAAAUAGGGCGGCACCUUGACGGUACCUAACCAGAAAGCCACGGCUAACUACGUGCCAGCAGCCGCGGUAAUACGUAGGUGGCAAGCGUUGUCCGGAAUUAUUGGGCGUAAAGGGCUCGCAGGCGGUUUCUUAAGUCUGAUGUGAAAGCCCCCGGCUCAACCGGGGAGGGUCAUUGGAAACUGGGGAACUUGAGUGCAGAAGAGGAGAGUGGAAUUCCACGUGUAGCGGUGAAAUGCGUAGAGAUGUGGAGGAACACCAGUGGCGAAGGCGACUCUCUGGUCUGUAACUGACGCUGAGGAGCGAAAGCGUGGGGAGCGAACAGGAUUAGAUACCCUGGUAGUCCACGCCGUAAACGAUGAGUGCUAAGUGUUAGGGGGUUUCCGCCCCCUGUAGUGCUGCAGCUAACGCAUUAAGCACUCCGCCUGGGGAGUACGGUCGCAAGACUGAAACUCAAAGGAAUUGACGGGGGCCCGCACAAGCGGUGGAGCAUGUGGUUUAAUUCGAAGCAACGCGAAGAACCUUACCAGGUCUUGACAUCCUCCUGACAAUCCUAGAGAUAGGACGUCCCCUUUCGGGGGCAGAGUGACAGUUGUGCAUGGUUGUCGUCAGCUCGUGGUCGUGAGAUGGUUGGUUAAGUCCC